UCUUAGAGUGUUGUCAUUGAUUCAGUAAUAUAGCCGUACAAUCCCUAUGGUGUGUGUGUUGGAGAGGGAGAAAAAGAGAUUGAGAGAUUGAGAGAACCGGCGUCCCCAGUUCACUGGCCAGUUACAUCCUGUCUCCAGCAAAAAGGGACUCCCCUGCUCCCGCCAGCACUUCCACUUUUCCUGGUAUGACCUUAUUCAAGAGUGAACAUCGCGGCCAGAGACGUGUAAGCAUGGCUGGGGAACUCAAGACCAACAGACCCAGGGCUGGGCAUAAGCGACCAGGCAGUACUGUGUACGGGAGCAGUUUUGACCUGGACUACGACUGUUACCAGGAUGACUUUUAUGACAGAGUGUAUGAUUACCAGCGGGUCCCAGCCUCCCUGCCUCCUGCCUCACGGGGCCCAUCCCUGCCCAAGCGGCCUCGGCAGUCGGACGCAGCAUUCCGGAGGAGCAAAGAGAGUCUCUCUUCGAAGGGGAGGUCAAGCAGCUCCUCCAACAGAGCAAAAUUGAAGGCCGACGAGCUGCAGACCAUAAAGAGGGAGCUGACUCUGAUCAAGGUGCAGAUUGACGGCCUCCUGGAGAACCUGGACAGGAUGGACAGACAGAGGAAAGACCAGACAGAGCUGGACAGCAGUGCAGGGGGCUCUCCUUACCGGGCCUCAGCCAGCAGCCCCGACGGAUCCCUGCCCAGCCCCAGCCAUCGGCGCCGGGGCCAGCGAGAGCGGGGGGAGAGCCCGGAGCUCGGAGAGGCCAGCGAUGAGGACAAUGACAUGGUUAAUAACCACAGCUCAGACCAGGAGGACACCAUGUAAACACAUAGAAAUCAGAUUGGGAGACCUUACUUUUGCAGUCGUCAGUACUCUAGCAGCGCACAAAGGAACCCAGUAACGGAACAGAAGGAAAGUGAGCAUCAUGCAAGGAGGUCCCUGCUUGCAGCGAGAGCUUAGGCCCUUAUCUACCAAACCGGUCUCCAAGGGGAAGAAUGAUUGUUAUAAAUUGCUUGUUCUGCGUAUUGAUUUUCCCUGGUGAAUCUUUUUGGUUAUAAUCUGAUAGUCUGAGCACCUGACUAGGAUCCCCAUCCCUUUUAAUGUUAAAAUGUGUUUUUAAGCAGCUUGGCUUUCAAUUUUUAAUCAAUUGCAGUUUAACAGCAAAAUGAUUUUAGCAGCUAAGUUAUUAUGGUAUGUACAGCUGACUCUGGGGGUAUAUGGUAAUGAUCUAUACAGUGGAGGAUUUAACCAUCACUGACUUUUAAUUCUAUAAGAAUAAACAAAGUACAGAGGAAAGGGAAAUUUGAAGGUGCAGGUGUAAAGGUCCCUGCCACUGUUUAGAUCACAUUAAAAUACCGUAGACCCUCUUACUGUAUGGUGUUAGUGUCUCCUUGUCCAAACUUUGAUUUCUGUCAGUAAAAUUGUGCAUGAGAAAUAUCAGCUGUACAUAUUUAGUUAAGCAGGAAAAAUAUAUUUUCUUAACAAUUACAAUUUCAUUCCACAAGAAUUUUACAGCUGAAAAACGUUUUUUGGGGGGGGGGGGGGUUUGGUUAGAAUAUAAGAUAUACUGGAAUGUUUUUGAAGACGGUGGUUUGAUUAACUGGUUAAUUCUUGUAGUAAGUUGCUAUACAGUUAUAACAAGUGUUUUAAUCGUCCAUAGGGGGAUAAAAAAAGAGAAAGUUGCUAAAACAUCCAAAUUCAGAAAUUUCAAUUGAACCGUUGCCCCCAUUUAUUUGGCAUUAGCCACAAAAAAGUUUGACUACUAAAGUAAGUAGCUUUUAAACAUUUCUAUUAAUAUUGUAUGGUUUUUUUUGCAACCAUUCAGAGUAGUUCUGGGUUCUGUUGCUUCAGUGUUGAGUUGGGACUCUCCAGACCAGGUCAGAGCCGGGUCAAAUCAGAUUUAGAGAACACUGGAGAACCAGAAAUGAAACUACUCAGAAUUAUUGCACACACCAUAACACAGUAAGGGAAAUAAAAAAAAGGACAUUUGAAUCUGCUUGCAAUGUAAGUUUCUACUUCAAAUUUAGUUACCACUAAAUAUUUCUUCUCCAUUAAUAACAUGGCAGUCUGCAGUAAGUGCUUUGAAAAAUGUACCAGGAUUGAAAUGUACUGCCCAUAUCAUUGGAGUUUUUACAGAGGACAUUUCUAGAAGGUAGGGCAGCAAACAGCAAGAGAAGAGAGCACCAGAGCAUUUCCCUUCCAACAGCAGUGUGAGAGUGUAGUUCUGAGCUCUGCAACAAGGAAGGACGGGGAGAUCUUUGGCCAACCCUGUAUAUAGUCAUCUAGCCUGAUUGUAUUGGCUUUGCUGGGGUGAAGUGUAAUAAUAUUCAGAAAUAUUGUAAACUUUCUUGUAAUCUGUAGACACUACUGUACCUGAUUUUAUUAUUGUUCUUCUGUUUUUGUAUUUAUUUAUUUUAUUUUAUUCACAGUGAUUUGGUAGAUUCUUUUUUGUGUUCAUGAAAUACUGAAUGAAUGCAGAAAUGCAGUUAGUAAAGGUAUUUUCUUAUUGAU